GCCUGUUUAACAAAAACAUCGCCUUUUGGGUUAAGUAAAAGGUCUGGCCUGCCCACUGUAAAUGAAGGGCCGCAGUAUUUUGACUGUGCAAAGGUAGCAUAAUCAUUAGUCUUUUAAUUGGAGGCUGGUAUGAAUGGUUGGAUGAGGUAACAGCUGUCUCACACAAGUAUAAUAGAAUUUAGCUUUUUAGUCAAAAGGCUUAAAUGAAGUUAGAGGACGAGAAGACCCUAUAGAUCUUUAUAAAACUAUUUAGAGUGCUAAGAUGAGUUAGAAUUCCAUAAAAAUUUUAUUUGGUUGGGGUGACAGGGAAAUAAUUGAACUUUCUUUAUCUUAACAUUUAUGAAUGAGACUAUGAUCCGUUAUGUGCGAUUAAAAGAGUAAGUUACCUUAGGGAUAACAGCAUAAUCUUCUUGGAGAGUUCUAAUCGAUAAGGGGGGGUGUGACCUCGAUGUUGGACUAAGAUUUAACUUUGGUGUAGCAGCUGGGGGUAAUGGUCUGUUCGACCAGUAAUAUCUUACAUGAUCUGAGUUCAAACCGGAGCUCC
rnacentral:rRNA from 1 species